UACGGGGGGGGCAAGCGUUGUUCGGAAUUACUGGGCGUAAAGGCUCGUAGGUGGCCAACUAAGUCAGACGUGAAAUCCCUCGGCUUAACCGGGGAACUGCGUCUGAUACUGGAUGGCUUGAGUUUGGGAGAGGGACGCGGAAUUCCAGGUGUAGCGGUGAAAUGCGUAGAUAUCGGGAGGAACACCAGUGGCGAAGGCGACUACCUGGCCUGUUCUUGACGCUGAGGCGCGAAAGCUAGGGGAGCAAACGGG
rnacentral:rRNA from 1 species